rnacentral:rRNA from 1 species
GUUUGAUCCUGGCUCAGAACGUACGCUGGCGGCACGCCUAACACAUGCAAGUCGAGCGGGGUAGCAAUACCUAGCGGCAGACGGGUGCGUAACAUGUGGGAAUCUGCCUUUUGGUUCGGAACAACAUGGGGAAACCUGUGCUAAUACCGGAUAAGUCCUAACGGAGAAAGUUUUAAUGCCAAAAGAUGAGCCCGCAUUUGAUUAGCUUGUUGGUGAGGUAAAAGCUCACCAAGGCUAUAAUCAAUAGCUGAUUUGAGAGGAUGAUCAGCCACACUGGGACUGAGAUACGGCCCAGACUCCUACGGGAGGCAGCAGUGGGGAAUCUUGCACAAUGGGCGAAAGCCUGAUGCAGCGAUGCCGCGUGAGUGAAGAAGGCCUUUGGGUUGUAAAGCUCUUUCGUCGGGGAAGAAAAUGACUGUACCCGAAUAAGAAGGUCCGGCUAACUUCGUGCCAGCAGCCGCGGUAAUACGAAGGGACCUAGCGUAGUUCGGAAUUACUGGGCUUAAAGAGUUCGUAGGUGGUUGAAAAAGUUGGUGGUGAAAUCCCAGAGCUUAACUCUGGAACUGCCAUCAAAACUUUUCAGCUAGAGUAUGAUAGAGGAAAGCAGAAUUUCUAGUGUAGAGGUGAAAUUCGUAGAUAUUAGAAAGAAUACCAAUUGCGAAGGCAGCUUUCUGGAUCAUUACUGACACUGAGGAACGAAAGCAUGGGUAGCGAAGAGGAUUAGAUACCCUCGUAGUCCAUGCCGUAAACGAUGUGUGUUAGACGUUGGAAAUUUAUUUUCAGUGUCGCAGGGAAACCGAUAAACACACCGCCUGGGGAGUACGACCGCAAGGUUAAAACUCAAAUGAAUUGACG